rnacentral:rRNA from 1 species
UACGUAGGGGGCGAGCGUUGUCCGGAUUUAUUGGGCGUAAAGCGCGCGUAGGCGGCCAUCCAAGUCGAUCGUGAAAGCUCGGGGCUCAACCUCGAGAUUGCGGUGGAUACUGUGUGGCUAGAGGCUGGUAGGGGGGUGUGGAAUUCCCGGUGUAGCGGUGGAAUGCGCAGAUAUCAGGAGGAACACCGGUGGCGAAGGCAGCUCCCUGGGACAGUCCUGACGCUGAGGCGCGAAAGCGUGGGGAGCAAACAGG